rnacentral:rRNA from 1 species
UAAAUUCUUAAAACUUAAUAAAUUUGGCGGUAUUUUAAUCUAAUCAGAGGAAUUUGUUUCAUAAUUGAUAAUCCCCAUUAAAUCUUACUUAAUUUAUUUAAUUUAUAUAUCGUCGUCAUAAGAAUAUCUUAAAAAAGUAAUAAUUUUCUAAAAUUUUAAUUUUAAAUUAUGUCAGAUCAAGGUGUAGUUUAUGAUUAAGAGAAAAUGAAUUACAAUAAAUAUAUUUAAAUGGAUUAAUUUUUUAAAUAAUUUAAUGAAAGUGGAUUUGUUAGUAAAAUAAACUAUUAAAUUUAUUUGAUUUUAGCUCUAAAAUAUGU